CUCCGCGCGAGGGCACGUUCGUCCUUUUAGUCCGAGAUAUUCGACCAGCUGAAAAGGCCAGGUUGGUGUGUCGCGCGUCCUGAAUCUCCCGUAGUUGGUCGGAGAAAAACGACUUCAGUUUCGUCUAAAAUAACAAGAUUGCCCUUUAGCUUCUUCAUGGCCCUCGCUCUCCUCCUCCUCUUCCCUCCUCCUCCGAGGCUCCCCUCCCGAAACCCUAACCCUAGAUUUCGUCACAAGAGAAAAGGGGUAUAUCGUUGUUGUUGUUAUUGCUCCACUAGGAGGGAAGCUAUGACCAACGUGGCGAUUGUCUCCAUCGCCUCCCUCACUCCGCUGUGGAGCUUCGCCGCAGAGGAUGCCCUACCGGAGUCUUCGGAGAGCGCGAGUUCUUCUCGUAAGAGUCCGAUUCUUGGUGGGAUUUCCAGCACCAAAUCUUGGUCUCAGUUUUUCGGCGACGGAUUCGCCAUCCGCGUGCCGCCGCUCUUUGAGGACAUCAUGGAGCCGGAGGACUACAGCACUGGGUUUACAUUCUAUGGUGAUAAAGCUAAGCCCAAGACAUUUGCUGCUCGUUUCGCAUCUCCGGAUAGAUCAGAAGUCUUAAGUGUGGUGAUUCGGCCAUCCAAUCAGCUCAAGAUUACAUUUCUUGAGGCCAAAGAUAUCACAGAUUUAGGCUCACUGAAGGAGGCAGCAAAGAUAUUUGUCCCUGGUGGAGCAAAUCUGUACUCAGCUCGCACAAUUAAAAUUAAAGAUGAUGAAAGUCUCAGGACAUAUUAUUUCUACGAGUUUGGCAUAGAUACGCAACAUGUUGCUCUAGUGGCUGCUGUAAAUAACGGCAAGGUGGUAUGGCAAGAAUACUCCGAAGGUGCAAUCAACCCCUGGCUUGCUCUGACGUCUCUUUGGUCGGCAUGACUAUGUCAGAGAAAAUAUGAUCCCAAACUCCAAUUGCCUGAAAGCAUUAUCAGGGUUGAAGAAUAACUAAAUAGAAAGAGAUUAAAAGAGAAAGGAGUUAGUCUUGUUGUGGUUUUAGGAACCUUACACCAAGGUUUCAUAUAUAAGGGGGAGAGACUAAGUGACAUAGCGGGCAUCAAAUCCUAAGAGCUCAACCUGUAAAACAACUAUGCAAGAUUUGGUCUCAAUUAGUAAUUAUUUUUGCUGACUUUACCUAAAGCAGACAUAAGCCACCUACACCUUGUAGGUGUGAUGCUAAUGUCUUCCUGAUGAUGUGAGAGUAGCUGGUACUCCUCUUAGUCGGCAAAAGGUCGAAGAGAGGGGGCUCCAUGAUUUGAGCUCUUUUCAGAUUAUUAUUUACAGCAAUGCAUAUGUAUGCAAAGUAGUAUCAUGCAUAUAGGCAUGAAAAAUUUGUAUUCUGUGACAGGUCAACCUUUUAUUUUUACAUAGACUGACUAAUCAAGUGAACUUGCCGUAACCCAACCAGACAGAAGCUGCCAUAGGAGUACCCUCAGCCUAAGAGGAUUGUGUUGUGCAAAGGGGUGUGGAGCUACAUAAGUUGGAUGCGCUGAGCCAAGCUUAUGGUUUUGAUUUAAUGAGAUAAAGAGACUGCAAGAGCAUUAUUAGGCAUACAUCGUUGGUGCUGCUGCUCCACAAGUGAAAUGGGGAGAUGAUGGUGUUAAGCUACGUUCAGCCGCCAUAUCUCUAUCAGUUCUGUAGCAUGCACCGACGAAACGAGCAUCUGCAAAAGGAAAAGAAAAGGAGAAAAAAGAAAGAAAAUGAAAAAAGAACAUUAGGAUUAUUUCUCUUGAAGAAACUUUGACUUCAAAAUUUUUGGAAGACAUUACUUGGGAGAAUUAUAAGCGGCGGCUCGAACAAAAGGAUGUAGAGAGAAGGCAUUUUUGGCCAAUGUGUUGUAAGGUUUGUGUCCGGAUAAUAAAUGUUGUCCUUUGUAACUUGAGCUUUUUGAUAUAUGAAAUUUGUUAGAAAUUCUUUUCCCAUCUUUUGUUUUUUGUAUGGGAAUACAUGAGUUCAAAGUAAGUUACAUCGACAAAUACUGGACUUACUGUGAAAUACACGUUGGUCGCAAAACUUAAAUUUAUUUUCAA